GGCCGCACUGCGCUGAAAACGUUCCCCACGGUGCCAUUGUGAGGGACUUAAAACCGAGAGGAAAUCUCUUCUAAUCGAGGAUCGACUUUGGCAUCUGCUUUUACUCUUUCAUGCUAAUGGUCUGAGGGAAGAACUGGUUCAGAAAUUGAAGACUUCUUACAAUCCUGAAACGUAACGCCAGGAGAACAGCCUCACGAGUAAAGACGUCACUCAGUACUGAAGCUGCUUUCCUAAGCCAAUUUCUGUUAGUGAUGCCUUGGCGACCUUCGUGGUACUGUAUGUAUUUGGGACAAAUCUGAUUUCCUGGGAUUAAAAGAACCUGUUGAUUCAAGACUUAACACGAUGAAAGUACGGGAUCAAUUGUACAUCUGACCACAUCGUUACAUGGUCUGAUCUCCAAUUCUGCAGCAGCAAAGUCCUCAGUGGGUCUCUGAUCUCUGAGGAUCCACAUCCACUUCCCUACACUGAUUCAAGGGCUCCUUCAAAUAAAAUGGCUGGAGACUUUUACAUAUUCA